CCUACGGGAGGCAGCAGUAGGGAAUAUUGGGCAAUGGGCGAAAGCCUGACCCAGCGACGCCGCGUGAGGGAUGAAGGUCUUCGGAUUGUAAACCUCUUUCAGUAGGGAAGAAGCGAAAGUGACGGUACCUAAAGAAGAAGCACCGGCUAACUAUGUGCCAGCAGCCGCGGUAAUACAUAGGGUGCAAGCGUUGUCCGGAAUUAUUGGGCGUAAAGAGCUCGUAGGUCGUUUGCCGCGUCGAUUGUGAAAAUCUGAGGCUCAACCUCAGACCUGCAGUCGAUACGGGCAAACUAGAGUGUGGUAGGGGAGACUGGAAUUCCUGGUGUAGCGGUGGAAUGCGCAGAUAUCAGGAGGAACACCAAUGGCGAAGGCAGGUCUCUGGGCCAUAACUGACACUGAGGAGCGAAAGCGCGGGGAGCGAACAGGAUUAGAUACCCUGGUAGUCCGCGCCGUAAACGGUGGGCACUAGCUGUGAGGGCCUUCCACGGUCUUCGCGACGCAGCAAACGCAUUAAGUGCCCCGCCUGGGGAGUACGAUCGCAAGAUUAAAACUCAAAGGAAUUGACGG
rnacentral:rRNA from 1 species